UACGUAGGGUGCGAGCGUUAGUCGGAAUUACUGGGCGUAAAGUGUGCGCAGGCGGCCGCGCAAGUCGAGUGUGAAAUCCCCGAGCUUAACUUGGGAAUUGCGCUCGAAACUACGUGGCUGGAGUGUGGCAGAGGAAGGUGGAAUUCCACGUGUAGCGGUGAAAUGCGUAGAUAUGUGGAGGAACACCGAUGGCGAAGGCAGCCUUCUGGGCCAACACUGACGCUCAUGCACGAAAGCGUGGGGAGCAAACAGG
rnacentral:rRNA from 1 species